GAUGAACGCUAGCGGCAGGCUUAACACAUGCAAGUCGAGGGGUAGAAGUUGCUUGCAACUUUGAGACCGGCGCACGGGUGCGUAACGCGUAUGCAACCUACCUUUUACAGAGGGAUAGCCCCGAGAAAUUUGGAUUAAUACCUCAUAGUAUAUAACCUUCGCAUGUUGGUUAUAUUAAAGUUCCAACGGUAAAAGAUGGGCAUGCGUCCUAUUAGCUAGUUGGUGUGGUAACGGCACACCAAGGCGACGAUAGGUAGGGGUCCUGAGAGGGAGAUCCCCCACACUGGUACUGAGACACGGACCAGACUCCUACGGGAGGCAGCAGUGAGGAAUAUUGGACAAUGGGCGCAAGCCUGAUCCAGCCAUGCCGCGUGCAGGAAGAAGCAUCUAUGGUGUGUAAACUGCUUUUGUACAGGAAGAAACACCCCUUCGUGAAGGGACUUGACGGUACUGUAAGAAUAAGGAUCGGCUAACUCCGUGCCAGCCGCCGCUGUAAUAC
rnacentral:rRNA from 1 species